UACUUAGUGGCGGACGGGUGAGUAACGCGUGGGCAACCUGCCCCGUGCCGGGGGAUACCGCCUGGAAACAGGCGCUAAUACCGCAUAAGCGCAUACAGCCGCAUGGCAGUAUGCGGAAAGCUCCGGCGGCACGGGAUGGGCCCGCGCCCGAUUAGCCAGUUGCGGGUAACGGCCCACCAAAGCGACGAUCGGUAGCCGGCCUGAGAGGGCGGACGGCCACAUUGGGACUGAGACACGGCCCAAACUCCUACGGAAGGCAGCAG
rnacentral:rRNA from 1 species